GUGCAGGCCAGAUCUGGGCAUAUAGGGGUGGUAUGGGCUUCAGGGAGCCCAGGAGCAGGUAGAAACCCCAUCCUACUGCCACUGCUACUCUUGGGCUGAUAAGGGAAGAACUGGGUUGAUCCAGAAAGGAGGGGGGGGGACGGCUCCUGAAGCCUGUCCCUCUUUCCACCUUCCCCCAAGUCUAUCCUGCAGGGAAAGAGCCAAUGAUAUGGACAGGCACAGAGCAGACUUGGAAGUUCCUAGUUAUGCCCCUACUUGCCAGCCCUCUAGCUGAGGGUCAGAGCUGUGCAUGUCAGAUCUUAGACACAUCCUAUGUUUUUUAUUUCCUAUUAGUCUCCACUUAACCUCCAGGCUCUCUACCUCCCCCUUUGGAGGUAGCUGAACUCUCCUUAUUUCCUGCCCAGGGAGCCAAGGUGUCUAACCCCCAUUUCUUUGAAUUACCCUCCUAGAGCCAGGCACCUCAUUUUUUAGCAAGUCAAAGCCUGAGAUAAAGGUACCUAAAGGAAAAAUUGGGAUCUUAACCAAAAUACCAGCAAUACCAAGUUAAAUGUCUUGCAAAGUGUAAAUAUACUUUUAUCAAACAAAUCUUAUUUAAUUAAUAAAAAAGUUGACAAGAUCUUCCUUUCCAUAAGCCCAGGUUGAUUGUCAUUAAUUAUAUUUCACCCCUUUACAUCUUCUUUUAGAGUCCUGUAUCAGGAAUUCCAUUGUUUUCCUUGGAUUAAUAUCAGGUUGUUAAGCCUAUAGUUACCAAAGUUAAAAAUAUCGGCACAGUGUUAGCCUCUUCCAGUCUUCUGGAACCUCCUCAGUGUUCUUAGAGUUAUAGAAGAAUCCAGUUCUGUUAAAGCUCUUGAAUUCAAAUUAUCCCAGCCUGCUGAUUUAAAAAUGUAUAGUUUUAAGAACUACUGUUUAACAGUUUCCCAAGUUAUUGUUGCAAUGGAAAGUAUUUCCAUUUCAAUUCCGAGGAAGUGAGGCCUCUCUUUUCAAACUGUGAAAGGGUCAAUAGAGUGAGCAAAGUAGUUACAAAUGGAGAAAAAUCUGAACUGAUUGAGUAUUUGAUUUUGAGGCUGUUGAAUUAAUACCAGAUUCAACCCAUUUUGUUAUUAGAGGAGCAAUCCCGCUGAUGUCCAGGCAGUUCAAAGCUUAUGUGGUCAAUACAGGUAAUAGAACUGGGCACUUAGCUGUUAGUGGCCUAAAGGUAAAGGCAUACAAUAAAGCAAAUGAAAAAAUACUAGUAGUAUUUUCAGAUAUAAGGAACUAAGAGACAAUAACACUGAGUAGCCCAGAAUGGUCUGGGGCCCAUUCCCCAAACCUCAGCAACACCUCCCCCUAGUUAUUAGAUACUUCUUCUCAUUUGAGUUCUGGAUUACUGAAAGAGAAUCAGUACAGAAGUAUGAAUUCAAAUUUACACUCCAGACUUAAUAUUUUUAGUGGGUUUUUUUCAUAGAAAACAACCCCAAGAGUAAUCCUAAUUAUUGUAUUCCACUUUCCUGUAAUUGGAAUAAAUCACUUCUUGUAAAUAAAAUAUGAAUGCACUCAUAAUAAUUGUAUGAAUGUUUGAUUGGAUUUCAACAUCUUUUAUUAAAAACAAAGUAAGACUUGAUUGAAACUAUUAACUGAUUAUAUAAGGCAAAUGUAGCUGAUGUCUACCACUUCAAUUGUGUGUAGCACAAUAAUUGCAAAUAUUUUUAUCCAGGGAAAAAAGCAGAUUAUUUGGGGCAAAAUAGGUCCCUAUAAACUUGUGUUAUCAUGGAAUGAUAUGAACAAAACUACACUUCUAACCCCUUUGCACCAAUCCAAUUCAAAGUUGCCUAAUCCCAGACUAGUAUCUUUUAAUUGAACUACCUAAAUUCCAUCAUGUUUUGAUUUCCCUUAGCUACCUCCUAAAAGCACCAAAAAACCAACAUUCAGCAACUUUACUGAUCCCCGGUGCCUGUGAACCAUAAAGUUUGCAACACCAGAUGGAGUUGUUAUAUUAGGAGCAAAGGACUAUAUUCAGUAAAGGGCUUAGGCAGCAUUUAUACAUUUAAGUCCAGAACUGCAGUGCAAAAAAACCCUGCCUUACUGCUGCUAUUCCUGGAGCUUCCUAAAUUCCAUAGGCAUUUUUCACAGGACUGAAGGGCCCCAAUCAGGCUCCAUAAAAUAGGUGCCCCUGUAACACAAGGGUACCCUCAGUAAGGUAGCUAAUGGAAAACUACCAACACACUCGGUUCAGUUACUAUUUACUUGUUCAGAAUAGUUGCUCCAGAGUGUUGCUAAAUUUAACAUUGCUACACAAACAGAAGAUAUAUGAAUGGAUAUAUAAUGGGCCUGUAGCAGGGCACAGAAGAGGUUUCUGACAGAAUGAAUUUGACUGGUACAUACAUGCCAGACUUUCUAAGGGUUGUAGAGUUCUUGUCAAAUUCACUGUUAGCCUAGGGCAGGAGUCAGCAAUCUAUUCUCUCAUGGGCUGGAUAUAGCCAAUGGAUAUAGCCAAUGAAGACAUCCAAUCCAGCCUACAGAGGUCUGAUUCAGCAUGGGGGAUCAGUCUCACAGAGCUACGCUGUGCUGUCCAUCUGCUCCACAGUACUUUUCUCCACUACGGAGUCUGCUGCUCCACAGCCUGCUGCUCCCUUGCUAAAAUGAAAUACAAUAAUUGGGAAUUGGACUGAUGACUAUGAAACUUAUGCUUAGCUGGGGCCUAUUUAUAAAAGUUAAAAUACAAAAUACUGAUUCUAAUUGCAUAGUGCAAGAGGAUGUAAGUUCAUGACUAGGCCAUCUGAGAAGAAAUAAUGAGUUUAAUUAACAGGAUUUUCCUGUCAGUUACUCCCUGGGACUCUCUCUUGAUUUACACAACUACAAGAAUGCUUUGAAGAUGCUGAGCUGAAGGGCAUCAGAGAGAAAUGAAACAGCUAUCAGGAUGCACUUCAAGAGUGAGAACUUUCUCCUUGACAUGACCUACUGCUGCAGCCAGCUAUCUUGAGAAACUGAAAAAAAACAGGCUGUCUCUCUGUCACCUGUUUGGUGACACAUUAUCAUCUUAUAGCUAAAUACUGGACUUUGCUUUGGUUUGGGCUCAUUUAACCUUAAAUACUUGUAGUAAAUAAAGCCUUUCUGUCAUUUAUUGAA